AUUUGGAUCGUGCAUGUCCUAGAGUAAAACAACCGACACGUGUUUGUGAGAGACUCAACUUUACACAGUAUUAGUGUGUAUCUAAAACAGUUCAGACGCUGCAGACAGAAGUUGGCAGAUUGGAUGUACCAACUUCAGAUGAGUUCCGUGAUGUUUGUGGGGGUUGUUGAGCAAAACAGAGAACACCGUUCGAACGCUACAGACGUUUUUGUGAGAAGACCGAUUUUCGGGAUGUCUCAUGAUCUGACAAACAUUGCUCUAGCUCUGCCUCUUUUCACCACAGAUGCAGGGAUUUGGCGACAUCGGUUGAUGCAAUUGAUUGUCAACUGAAAAAAAAAAMAGAUGUCUCUAGUUUAAAUUGACGGAUUUUGAUGGGGAUUUUUGAAAAUUAUACUAAUUAGAUUUACGCGAGGCCGAUGACAACUCUAGGGUGAAUACAGUGUGUGUGGUAUUUUUGUGUAUCAUUUCGUUGGCACAGUAGUUUUGAUGUGGGUUUGUAUGGUUGUAGAAUGAACUGGUCUUUACAGACUUCAUCAAGCUGUCGUUUGGAGGAAGCCGUGUCAGAAAGACCAGAGGGCGUGCAACUUCCUAGCAGGGCUUGUGGAACAUCGUUCGACUUCCACAAACAAAUAGACUACCUCUUCCUGUUUGGCACGAAGGAGGGCAAGAUUCACAAGUGCUCCAAGGCCUACUUCAGCCAGUUCCUGGAAACCUAAUAAUGCCCACAACAUGGCGGUGGACGCAGUUAAGAGGAACCACUUCCACCCCAAGGUCUUCAUUUCCUGCAGCUCUGACCUGGUCCCAGAUCAUGUGAAGAUGACCAUAGGAGUUGGCAAGACAACACAAACAGAUCUGGGAUCCUUCUAUUCUAAGAUGACAGCCCAACAUUGUCCAUAUGAACCCUAGGUCUUGCUUCAUCUUUCACCCAACUAUUACUUUACAAACUGUGAAAAUUAUUCCAAGAUGUCCAACCAUAUUCAUCACUUUCCUCACCCCCUUUCAAUAUAAUUUGCCUGUCAGUUAAUUUGACAAACCCAAUUAGAUAGUUAUAUCAGUUAUAAUUAAAUACUUUGCUGACUAAAGUCAGGUAUCUACAGUCAACUUUCCAUGAAAACUUUGCUUGGCUCUCUCUCAUCAAGCCAAUGUUUAUGGCUAUACACAGAACUACCAGCAGAUGGCUUGAACACAUCAAAAACACAGACGUGUUUAGUGCUUUUCAACUGGUUCUCAACUGACUUCAGUCUUGUCAAGACUGUGUUCAUUGUGUUGAUUGUUACCACUGAGAUAUUGACUAUGCCUGCAUUGGUCUUUUGUGUUGGGGCAGACUGUUGGUCUACUUGUAAGUUUCACUUCACAAUCAUUAGUUUAGCACCUACCCCCAAUCUGCCAUAAAACCUAGUAAUAAUAUCACAUCUUCAAACAGGUUGAAAGGGCUUUGAAAACAACAGAAACCUCUGAAAAACAUGAAUACUGUGUAUUCUACAUUGUUUAGGGGGCAUGGUAAAGGAGCCAGUUAUUCACUUCAACCAGCUCUUCAUUUUUUAACAGUAGUCCGUCUGCACACUUAAAUGGCAAUUUGAAUAGGAUCAUGUGGAUUGAUUAGGUUGGCAUUACUUUCUCCUUUUGAUACAAGUCCUUGUAAUGCCAUCUAUCUGAAUGAGCUGUGAGUGAUAAGUCACAGAUAUGAUCUAGCCUGAGUCACAAAAUGUCAGAAGUAGGUUACAUAAUCAGGGCUGAAGCCUGGCGGCCUGUGAGAAACUACUGCAAUCUGUCAGCUGCACCCACACCCCCUUGAAUCCACACGUCUUUCAUUGGCUUCAUGUGCUAUUUGUCUAUCCACUUUAUACUGAAGGAAAAAAAACUCAAUGCAACAAUUUAAAAGAUUUUACUGAGUUACAGUUCAUAGAAGGAAAUCAGUCAAUUGAAAUAA